UCUCCCUUGAGGGCACUUU
rnacentral:miRNA from 1 species